GAUGAACGCUGGCGGCGUGCUUAACACAUGCAAGUCGAACGAGAAGUGGAGACGGACACCUUCGGGCGGAAGACUUUACUUCGAGUGGCGGACGGGUGAGUAACGCGUGGGUAACCUGCCUCAUACAGGGGGAUAACAGUUGGAAACGACUGUUAAUACCGCAUAAGACCACAGCACCGCAUGGUGCGGGGGUAAAAACUCCGGUGGUAUGAGGUGGACCCGCGUUCGAUUAGCCAGUUGGCGGGGUAACGGCCCACCAAAGCGACGAUCGAUAGCCGAUCUGAGAGGAUGACCGGCCACAUUGGGACUGAGACACGGCCCAAACUCCUACGGGAGGCAGCAGUGGGGAAUAUUGCACAAUGGGGGAAACCCUGAUGCAGCGACGCCGCGUGAGUGAAGAAGUAUUUCGGUAUGUAAAGCUCUAUCAGCAGGGAAGAAAAUGACAGUACCUGAGUAAGAAGCCCCGGCUAGCUACGUG
rnacentral:rRNA from 1 species